ensembl:misc_RNA
UUGCCCAUCGCGGCUGUGGAUACCUGGUUUUAGUGUG